CGGUGAAUACGUUCCCGGGCCUUGUACACACCGCCCGUCACACCAUGGGAGUUGGUUCUACCCGAAGCCGGCGUUUGAUACCGCCGACCACGGUAGGGUCAGCGACUGGGGUG
rnacentral:rRNA from 1 species